rnacentral:rRNA from 1 species
AUUGAACGCUGGCGGCAUGCCUUACACAUGCAAGUCGAACGGCAGCACGGGAGCAAUCCUGGUGGCGAGUGGCGAACGGGUGAGUAAAGUAUCGGAACGUGCCCAGUCGUGGGGGAUAACGUAGCGAAAGUUACGCUAAUACCGCAUACGAUCUAUGGAUGAAAGCGGGGGAUCGCAAGACCUCGCGCGAUUGGAGCGGCCCAUAUCAGAUUAGGUAGUUGGUGGGGUAAAGGCCCACCAAGCCGACGAUCUGUAGCUGGUCUGAGAGGACGACCAGCCACACUGGGACUGAGACACGGCCCAGACUCCUACGGGAGGCAGCAGUGGGGAAUUUUGGACAAUGGGCGAAAGCCUGAUCCAGCCAUGCCGCGUGCAGGAUGAAGGCCUUCGGGUUGUAAACUGCUUUUGUACGGAACGAAAAGGUUUGGCCUAAUAAGCUGAGCUCAUGACGGUACCGUAAGAAUAAGCACCGGCUAACUACGUGCCAGCAGCCGCCGUAA